UCCCUGGUGGUCCAGUGGUUAGACUUAGUGCUUUUAUUAAUGUGGCCCAGGUUCAAUCCCUGGUCAGGGAU
rnacentral:tRNA from 1 species